rnacentral:rRNA from 1 species
UACAGAGGGCGCAAGCGUUAUUCGGAAUUAUUGGGCGUAAAGAGCGCGUAGGCGGUCUGAUAAGUCUGGUGUGAAAUCCCUGGACUCAAUUCAGGAAGCGCAUUGGAUACUGUCAGACUCGAGUACAGUAGAGGUGAGCGGAAUUCCCGGUGUAGAGGUGAAAUUCGUAGAUAUCGGGAGGAACAACAGUGGCGAAGGCGGCUCACUAGACUGUAACUGACGCUGAGGCGCGAAAGCGUGAGGAGCAAACAGG